AAGUCGUAACAAGGUUUCCGUAGGUGAACCUGCGGAAGGAUCAUUAACCGUGUCUGUAUGUGGACAUGUGAUGUGGUGUGUGCGUGUUUUUGGUCCACGUGGCCAUGUUUUUACAUUUACCUUACCAUUAAUCUAAUCUCUUAUCAACCAGUAAAACUGGCAGCAAUGGAUCCCUCGGUUCUC
rnacentral:misc_RNA from 1 species